rnacentral:lncRNA from 1 species
CUGCUUGUUUUGCUGUUCCCCCGUGUCAAUAUGCUUCAGCCACGGCGCAUUGAUCCUCAGCAAAGUUUUUCGAGGAAUUAUGAUUAACAAAGUUACCCGCAAGGAUACUGCCAGUAACAAGCUGUCGCAAUUCUCCUGCAAGGUUUGAGAAGAAAAAAAAGCUGUCGCUCCUACGAGGUUAUCUGCUGGGUCACUGGACGCAAUUUGCCAAUAGG